rnacentral:snoRNA from 1 species
AACUCCCUGAUUCUGUAACCUUGGGAUCUAAAUAAUGGCCUGAGUGGACAAAAAAAAGGAGGAAAAGUUAAACUGAGGUGGACUUGGAAUCUUUAGUGACAUGCAAGUUCAUUUCAAACAUAU